CAGCAGCCGCGGUAAUACGUAGGUGGCAAGCGUUGUCCGGAAUUAUUGGGCGUAAAGGGCUCGCAGGCGGUUUCUUAAGUCUGAUGUGAAAGCCCCCGGCUCAACCGGGGAGGGUCAUUGGAAACUGGGAAACUUGAGUGCAGAAGAGGAGAGUGGAAUUCCACGUGUAGCGGUGAGAUGCGUAGAGAUGUGGAGGAACACCAGUGGCGAAGGCGACUCUCUGGUCUGUAACUGACGCUGAGGAGCGAAAGCGUGGGGAGCGAACAGGAUUAGAGACCCCGGUAGUCCCUGUCUCUUAUAC
rnacentral:rRNA from 1 species